rnacentral:rRNA from 1 species
AGAGAGAGACAUGCGCGCAUAUCAAUAAGCGGAGGAAAAGAAACUAACAAGGAUUCCCUAGUAACGGCGAGUGAAGCGGGAAGAGCUCAAAUUUGAAAUCUUCAAGGUUCUACCUUGACGAAUUGUAGUUUAAAGAAGUGUUUUCUGUUGAAGUUUUGGUAAAAGUUCUUUGGAAUAGGACAUCAUAGAGGGUGAGAAUCCCGUAUUUGACCAUUAUUUCCAGCUUUGUGAUACACUUUCAAAGAGUCGGAUUGUUUGGGAAUGCAGUCCAAAAUGGGUGGUAAAUUUCAUCUAAAGCUAAAUAUUGGCGAGAGACCGAUAGCGAACAAGUACCGUGAGGGAAAGAUGAAAAGAACUUUGAAAAGAGAGUUAAACAGUACGUGAAAUUGUCAAAAGGGAAGCGUUUGACACCAGUGUUGUUUUCUCGAAAAUCAAUUAAAAAAGGCAGGAUUUUGUGUUGUAUUGACUUUAUCAGCUUUCUGCACUCUUUUCUUGUCUUUUUUAAUGCACUUUUCGUUUAACAAGUCAACAUCAAUUUCUUUUGUUGUAAAAGGGUCAUUGGAAGGUGGCUUUCUUUUCGGAGAAAGUGUUUAUAGCCUUUGGCCUCUGCAAUCGGAGAGAUUGAGGUCUGCAGCGUAGAUCCUUCGGGGUUAGAUACAUUUGUGCUGAGUUAUAGCCUUUCAUAGACAACUUGUUGACUAUGAUCAGUCAUGUAGCUUACUCGCUUAUGCUAUUUUACCUACGCUUAGGAUGUUGAUGUGAUACUGCGAGCA